rnacentral:tRNA from 1 species
GCCGCUAUAGCACAGUGGUAGUGCACCCGCUUCGUAAGCGGUAGGUCGCAGGUUCAAUCCCUGCUGGCGGCA